CUACGUGCCAGCAGCCGCGGUAAUACGGAAGGUCCAGGCGUUAUCCGGAUUUAUUGGGUUUAAAGGGAGUGUAGGCGGUUUGUUAAGCGUGUUGUGAAAUUUAGGUGCUCAACAUUUAACUUGCAGCGCGAACUGUCAGACUUGAGUACACGCAACGUAUGCGGAAUUCAUGGUGUAGCGGUGAAAUGCUUAGAUAUCAUGAAGAACUCCGAUUGCGAAGGCAGCAUACGGGAGUGUAACUGACGCUUAAGCUCGAAGGUGCGGGUAUCGAACAGGAUUAGAUACCCUGGUAGUCCGCACAGUAAACGAUGGAUGCCCGCUGUUAGCGCCUGGCGUUAGCGGCUAAGCGAAAGCAUUAAGCAUCCCACCUGGGGAGUACGCCGGCAACGGUGAAACUCAAAGGAAUUGACGGGGGCCCGCACAAGCGGAGGAACAUGUGGUUUAAUUCGAUGAUACGCGAGGAACCUUACCCGGGCUUGAAUUGCAGAGGAAGUAUUUAGAGAU
rnacentral:rRNA from 1 species